rnacentral:rRNA from 1 species
UACGGAGGAUGCAAGCGUUAUCCGGAAUGAUUGGGCGUAAAGCGUCCGCAGGUGGCUAUGUAAGUCUGCUGUUAAAGAGUCUAGCUCAACUAGAUAAGAGCAGUGGAAACUACAUGGCUAGAGUGCGUUCGGGGCAGAGGGAAUUCCUGGUGUAGCGGUGAAAUGCGUAGAGAUCAGGAAGAACACCGGUGGCGAAGGCGGCAUCCUGGACCGGUAUUGACGCUGAGGCGCGAAAGCCAGGGGAGCAAACGGG